rnacentral:lncRNA from 1 species
AAACUACUACAUCAAAGGCAGAAAAGGAAGAACAGAAUAAUGAGGCAGUGACAAUGGUGGUAUCAUCGACACCGACCAUGGUUUUCGAUGACCAUGAAAAGGAAAAAGGGAAGGGAGACAACAUCGAUGGCAAUUAAUGGAGAUGCGCAUGUCGGUUAUUCAUUCCGGCUAGUUUUUGUCACUUUUCGGCGGCCGGUGCGAUGGGUUGAUGAGAAAAAGGGCGGGAUGGUAGGAUGGUGCGGCGGCGAGGCUGGUUUGCCGAUGGAGUUUUUGCCGCCGUUGUGAUCUUAAUUUUGGCAAGAUCUAUCCGGUCGGUAGAUGGACGACGACGGGAAAAGGGAGAAGUGGGCGGUCCGACGCAGGGAAGGGCAAGAAGGAGGAUGGUCCAAUUGGUUUUGGGUAGGUGUUCGGUCAGUUUUCGGCGAGUUUUCGCUGGAAAAUUUAUAAACUAUGAAUCUUAUUAUAUUUUUUUUCGAUCACUCUUUCUCAACCUCCCUUCUUUUCAUCCCUUUUCUCCUUUUUCCUCUCACUGGUUUCAUUUUGGUUAUGUGUGAAUGAAUAUAUUGUACUGCUA